rnacentral:rRNA from 1 species
CGGACGGGUGAGUAAUGUCUGGGAAACUGCCCGAUGGCGGGGGAUAACUACUGGAAACGGUAGCUAAUACCGCAUAAUGUCUGCGGACCAAAGCGGGGGACCUCCGGGCCUCGCGCCAUCAGAUGAACCCAUAUGGGAUUAGCUAGUAGGUAAGGUAACGGCUUACCUAGGCGACGAUCCCUAGCUGGUCUGAGAGGAUGAUCAGCCACACUGGGACUGAGACACGGCCCAG